UACGUAGGGUGCAAGCGUUGUCCGGAAUUAUUGGGCGUAAAGAGCUCGUAGGCGGUUUGUCGCGUCUGCUGUGAAAACUCGGGGCUUAACUCCGGGCCUGCAGUGGGUACGGGCAGACUAGAGUGCGGUAGGGGAGACUGGAAUUCCUGGUGUAGCGGUGAAAUGCGUAGAGAUCAUGAGGAAGACCAGUGGCGAAGGCGGGUCUCUGGACAGUUCCUGACACUGAGGCACGAAGGCCAGGGGAGCAAACGGG
rnacentral:rRNA from 1 species